GGUUCACAACAGAUCUGAUCAUCUAGAUGCUCCCCAACCCCGGCAUGGGCAUAAUCUAUCCACUUGAAUUUAAAGGCCUGGAAACCUGCAGGAGGUGGCUCCCAGCUGAAUUUCCAUGGAGCCUAGUCUGCACAAAAGGAGACAGAAAGCAAACCUGAGCCUGCGAAAGGGAGACAGGCUCACGGUUCUCUCCCUUUCAUCAAAUAUGGCCCACGUCCUUCCCGUAUCAUGGGAUGUGGGACACAUCAGCGGUGUGUUUAUUUUACGACUGACAAAGAACAAAGGAGCGUUUUCAAAAGUUUUGGGAGCCCAUGGAUUCAGGCCAACUCUGAUUACAGUGCAUGUUUAUUCUUAAGUGUCCAGAUGAAGAAUUCAUAAUUUUACCCAUAAGGACGGACAGAAAGCAAGUUGUCCCCAGUCUAUGGUACGCAGGGUAGCAGAGAGCUGCUAUAAAACCAGAAAAAGCCCACGGAUGACUCACCCAGCUGAGGAAGGUCUCUUUGGAUGCUUCCUCUUAAAGGUAGUGAUCCCUUUGGACAACUAAGGAAUCAUUGAUCUAGGAGUAAAAAAGGAGCUGUUGCCUGCAUCGCAGCCACCGAGCAUGGAGAGAUUCCCCUGUGGAUACUUACCCAACAGAACUCAAGUAUUGGUUGCAGCCUGAGCCCUGGGCAAAGAUCAGCUGUGAGAUCGCAG
rnacentral:lncRNA from 1 species